GAAGCUAUAUAGCAGAGUUGUUUGCAUAAUGAGUUUCAUUUCUCUUCACAGGUCAGCACCUUUAGCGAACCUUGGAAAAACUAUUGUGUGAGCAGUCAGCACACCAGGGCAGCAGCACCCGUUGAGUUCCACACUGCAUUCAGUGAACUGAUUCUCAGGAUGACAGAAUCAUCACUUAACUGGAGCCAGGAGAGCCAUGGAUUCACCUGUAUGAGCCUUUACUCCUUCCCUCACUCUCCUCCCUUCUGCUCUGGCAAAUUCCCAGAAGCAUGUACACCAUUCCCUCUGAGGGAACCUGUGGGAAUGAAUUAAAAAUGAGCAAAGACCUCUGGAUUGAAAACAAAGGAGAAGAGAAAUAACAUUCAAGUUAAUAAAACAAAGUUUCUUGCUGAAAUGUAAGUGAAAUUACUAUUUGUGUGAAAAAAAAAACUACUCAGUGUGUUUGUGGGAGUACCAAAAUCUGUCUGAAAACAUUAGUCAAAGCAUUCUUUGUGAAUAAAGAUUGAAAGUGUGAUCACCCACUUAGCUAUUUCAGGGGGAUGACUGCAAGAUUCAUCUUAAUAAUUUUCAGUAAUUUCCAUAU